CUGAGGUUUUAGUUUGGAAUUUGAGUUGGAAGCAUGUGGGGAUCACUUUUUUGUCUCAGCAAUUGCAUAGGAAUGUGAGGUCACAUGAGAUGGUGGCUCUUCGGACUUCGAGUUUCUCUUAGGUCCUGGUCAGCUAGAAGGUUUCCUCCCCGUAGAAGUAUGAUAUUUGUUUUCAUAGAUUUUCAUGGGUACAGGU